AGAGUUUGAUCAUGGCUCAGAUUGAACGCUGGCGGCAUGCCUUACACAUGCAAGUCGAGCGGCAGCGCGGGGGCAACCCUGGCGGCGAGCGGCGAACGGGUGAGUAAUGCAUCGGAACGUGUCCUCUUGUGGGGGAUAACCAGUCGAAAGACUGGCUAAUACCGCAUGAGCUCGAAAGAGGAAAGCAGGGGACCCGCAAGGGCCUUGCGCGAGAGGAGCGGCCGAUGCCCGAUUAGCUAGUUGGUGGGGUAACGGCCUACCAAGGCGACGAUCGGUAGCUGGUCUGAGAGGACGACCAGCCACACUGGGACUGAGACACGGCCCAGACUCCUACGGGAGGCAGCAGUGGGGAAUUUUGGACAAUGGGGGCAACCCUGAUCCAGCCAUGCCGCGUGUGUGAAGAAGGCCUUCGGGUUGUAAAGCACUUUCGGCCGGAACGAAAUCGCGCGGGUGAAUAUCCCGCGUGGAUGACGGUACCGGAAGAAGAAGCACCGGCUAACUACGUGCCAGCAGCCGCGGUAAUACGUAGGGUGCGAGCGUUAAUCGGAAUUACUGGGCGUAAAGUGUGCGCAGGUGGCCGCGCAAGUCGAGUGUGAAAUCCCCGAGCUUAACUUGGGAAUUGCGCUCGAAACUACGUGGCUCGAGUGUGGCAGAGGAAGGUGGAAUUCCACGUGUAGCGGUGAAAUGCGUAGAGAUGUGGAGGAACACCGAUGGCGAAGGCAGCCUUCUGGGCCAACACUGACGCUCAUGCACGAAAGCGUGGGGAGCAAACAGGAUUAGAUACCCUGUAGUCCACGCCCUAAACGAUGAUGACUAGUUGUUGGGGGAGUUAAAUCCCUUAGUAACGCAGCUAACGCGUGAAGUCAUCCGCCUGGGGAGUACGGUCGCAAGAUUAAAACUCAAAUGAAUUGACGG
rnacentral:rRNA from 1 species